rnacentral:rRNA from 1 species
CCCUUAGAUAUUCUGGGCCGCACGCGCGCUACACUGAUGCAUUCAACGAGCCUAUCCUUGACCGACAGGUCCGGGUAAUCUUUGAAUCUGCAUCGUGACGGGGAUAGAUUAUUGCAAUUAUUAAUCUUCAACGAGGAAUGCCUAGUAGGCGCAAGUCAUCAGCUUGCGUCGAUUACGUCCCUGCCCUUUGUACACACCGCCCGUCGCUCCUACCGAUUGGGUGUGCUGGUGAAAUGUUCGGAUCGGCCGUUUGUCGCGGUUUCCGCGGCUCGUGGCUGAGAAGUUCAUUAAACCCUCCCACCUAGAGGAAGGAGAAGUCGUAACA